UAAGUAAGCCAGAUAAUCGCAUGUAAUCUUACAUGAGGAAAGUCGGAGCUCCAUAGAGCAGGGUGCUAGGUAACGCCUAGUGGGAGCGAUCCUAAGGAUAGUGCAACAGAAAUAAACCGCCACUUGUGGUAAGGAUGGAAAGGCGAGGUAAGAGCUCACCAGCAGCUAGGCGACUAGUUGGCUAUGUAAACCCCACCUGGAGCAAGACCAAGAUAGGAAUAAAGAGUGCUGCUCGUACUCUCCGGUAGGUAGGUCGCUUGAGCCUAUUGGUGACAAUAGGCCUAGAAAGAUGAUUAUCUAAUACAGAACUCCGCUUAUAGACUUGCUUAAUUA
rnacentral:RNase_P_RNA from 1 species